rfam:Erinaceus europaeus unplaced genomic scaffold scaffold00221, whole genome shotgun sequence
UGGUACAGGGGGUUAGACCACUGUGCAAUCGGAGUUCUGGGAAUCAGGUGAUGGAGUGUGUUCUAAGAAGGAACUGAGACCC